rnacentral:rRNA from 1 species
CCUACGGGAUGCAGCAGUGGGGGAUAUUGCACAAUGGGGGAAACCCUGAUGCAGCGACGCCGCGUGAGCGAUGAAGUAUCUCGGUAUGUAAAGCUCUAUCAGCAGGGAAGAAAAUGACGGUACCUGACGAAGAAGCCCCGGCUAACUACGUGCCAGCAGCCGCGGUAAUACGUAGGGGGCAAGCGUUAUCCGGAUUUACUGGGUGUAAAGGGGGCGUAGACGGCGGUGCAAGCCAGAUGUGAAAGCCCGGGGCCCAACCCCGGGACUGCAUUUGGAACUGGGCUGCUGGAGUGUCGGAGGGGCAGGCGGAAUUCCUGGUGUAGCGGUGAAAUGCGUAGAUAUUAGGAGGAACACCAGUGGCGAAGGCGGCCUGCUGGACGAUGACUGACGUUGAGGCUCGAAAGCGUGGGGAGCAAACAGGAUUAGAUACCCGUGUAGUC